rnacentral:rRNA from 1 species
CCUACGGGAGGCAGCAGUGGGGAAUAUUGCACAAUGGGGGAAACCCUGAUGCAGCGACGCCGCGUGAGUGAAGAAGUAUUUCGGUAUGUAAAGCUCUAUCAGCAGGGAAGAAGCAAGACGGUACCUGACUAAGAAGCCCCGUCUAACUGCGUGCCAGCAGCCGCGGUAAUACGUAGGGGGCAAGCGUUAUCCGGAUUUACUGGGUGUAAAGGGAGCGCAGGCGGCGCGUUAAGCCUGGUGUGAAAGCCCGCGGCCCAACCGCGGGACUGCAUUGGGAACUGGCGCGCUGGCGGGCCGGAGGGGGG